ensembl:lncRNA
AAAGGCGCUCUCCUGAAUGUGCAUUAAAGGCGCUCUCCUGAAUGUGCAUUAAAGGCAUGGUAUAUAUAUCACAUACACAUGGUGUACUUUAUACCAGUGAAUGAAAGGACAUGAAACAGUCAGUCUCAGUCAAGCCGAGUACCUACAGAACGGUUCAGGGUGACGGUAGAUGUCUGUGGAGGGGAGAUGAAGGUCAGAAUCAGUACAAGUUAAAUGACUAUGAUUAGCACGGUCUGUGAACAAGUUUUGUAUAGAGUUUGAUAUUAUCAUGUGUGUAUCUUACCGGGCUCAGCUCCCGGUUGUCACGAUGGUCAUCAGGGAAAUGACCGGUCUUUUUAUUUUGGAUGUCGCCAACAAAAACAACCCCCCAAAAACCCACUGUGACGCUUACUAGGGCUAUACAAG